CCUACGGGAGGCAGCAGUGGGGAAUUUUGGACAAUGGGCGAAAGCCUGAUCCAGCAAUGCCGCGUGAGUGAAGAAGGCCUUCGGGUUGUAAAGCUCUUUUGUCAGGGAAGAAACGGUGUUUUCUAAUACAGAAUGCUAAUGACGGUACCUGAAGAAUAAGCACCGGCUAACUACGUGCCAGCAGCCGCGGUAAUACGUAGGGUGCAAGCGUUAAUCGGAAUUACUGGGCGUAAAGCGUGCGCAGGCGGUUUUGUAAGUCUGACGUGAAAUCCCCGGGCUCAACCUGGGAAUUGCGUUGGAGACUGCAAGGCUAGAGUUUGGCAGAGGGGGGUAGAAUUCCACGUGUAGCAGUGAAAUGACGUAGAUAUGUGGAGGAACACCGAUGGCGAAGGCAGCCCCCUGGGUCAAGACUGACGCUCAUGCACGAAAGCGUGGGGAGCAAACAGGAUUAGAUACCCUGGUAGUCCACGCCCUAAACGAUGUCUACUAGCUGUCGGGUCUUAAUUGACUUGGUAACGCAGCUAACGCGUGAAGUAGACCGCCUGGGGAUACGGUCGCAAGGAUUAAAAACUCAAAANAGAAGUAGAGUAGAGAGUAGAGAGGACGACGACGAGGGAGAGG
rnacentral:rRNA from 1 species